CUCAAGCAGGCUCCAUGCUUAGCGUAGAGCCCAAUACGGAGCUUGAUCUCAUGAGGGCAAGAUCGUGACCUGAACUGAAAUCAAGAGUCAGACACUUACCCCACUGAGCUUCUCCAAUUAAUGCUUCGUAAUUCGAAUUUUACUCUUCGGUGUCUCUGUUUUUAUUUGUGCAUUCGUUGGCCGUAUGGCUUAUAUAAGAACUAAAAGCAUAAAAAGUUGAUUCCUAGUUUAAUGUUUAUAACAUUGAAGUAAAAAUAAUGUAAAUACCGGAACACCACAAGAACGUGUUCUUUAACAGAGCUCUGUAUCAUUGCUCACUUUUGGUAAACAUUGAUCUGAAUAUUCCUACCACAAACGUUCAGGCUGGUUUUCUUUUCUUGUUAUCACCUGCUCUCAGCCCUGAAUGCGAGAAGUUUCACAAAUAUUCCAGAACUGCAUUUUAAGCCUCAAACUCAUGAAGUAUCAGGUGUGUAACUGAAGUUGAUGGUCUUUAAUUCCUCAGUGUGUUUCCAGUUCAAGUGAACCCCAAAGGAGAAGGGGAUCCCACACACACAAAAAAGUCAACCAGCGUCAUUCCGUUUAGGCCUCUGGCAGAACUCCAUGGGUCAGCUGUAAGGAAGCGGCACCCGAACCUGACCUUGGGCGCUAGCGCCCACGUAACGGAAUCGGUAGCUGCCCGCCGCUAACAGGAAGCUGGUCGUCCACACUCCGGCUCAGGACGAAGCAAGCAUUUCUUUCUUUGAGCUUUCGGGGCCAGUUAGAGAGGAUGCUUACAACCAGGGGCCAAUCCUGCCGCGGGCAUCAGCUGCGCAGAUGUUUACUUUCUCCUCGCUUCCACCGCAAAAUUGGUCUGAUGAUAGAGGGCGCGCCCCCUAGCGGGAAGGCUGGGUAGCUUCAAGGGGACACAGAAGAUGCUGGCACACGGUAAACAUUCGGCGACCGUUGGCUGCCAGCGUCAUGACUUCUUCUACAAUUACUGUCAUUGCUACUGCUGCCGCAGGGGAGGGCCAAGGGACCUACGCCUUCAGCAUUUCACAGGUUCGUUUAAUCCGUGUAGCCUGAAAGUCCGGGACACCUUUAAACUCCUGAAGAACCUUCGCACGUGACUUCGGCUGCAAGCAGGUCUCCCUUGGCCUUCAUUAUUUGCCACUGGAAAAUGCUGUAAAUGACAUCAGACAGACUUCAGACACCACCUCUGGAACUAAGAAACGAAGCAGUUAUUCAGAGCACCGGUGAUUGUCAUUUUAGAAGAAAUAAGAAAUCAGUAUCGCAGUCGUGGAUCCUGGCAGUUUUUUCCUACCUGGAGCUGCUCUCGGUGGAAGCGUGGUGGCUUUCAAGGGCAACAGCGCCCCCGCGUGGUGAUACUGUUUAUUGCACCCCAGGAGAGCCUGCAAACUCCGGGCUGGAAGGAAAUGCCGGGCGGCCUCAGGCAAGGACAUCCAUUCACCCCAAAAUAAUUUCUGCCUUAAGCCGACAGGCCGGUUUCUGCCAAAAAGAUGAGCGCAGUUAAGUUUUACCGUACUGAUAUUGUGUCUUAAAACUUAGCAUCUCUUCUUGCCUGUGAAAGCAGGAAAAGGGCGGCCAGCGGCAUGGGUUGCUUGCAAUCCUUUCCAGGGUUUGAAAGUGUGGGGUGAGUGGAAGGCGUGGGAUUGCAGGGACGGAGUGAAGAUCAGGAGGGAGGAGGAGUGGCCCGGCAGGGCUGGGAGCCAGGGAGUAGAGGGGGUAGGGUAACAUUUGGUAAUAAAAAUGAUGGGAAGUAGAAUAGCUUGUAUUUUAAACUAAAAUCGAUGGCUGCAUAGCAACAGAGAAGCAAAUCGGUGUCACCAAAAUUCAGAAUUCCUAGCUCUAACGUGAUGCUUUCCAUGGCUGCCUCCCUACGUCAAGCGGACCCUCCAUGCUCUCUUGAGAAAGAAGUAUCUAGUUUCUCCUAACUGUGAGUGUCUGGGAUGCCCCUCCAGAAGCUCCCCAAACCACUGUGCCCUGACCUCUGAGGAGCUGAGGUAGAGAAGGACAAGCACAGGACUCGAAACCCCAAGACUGGAUUCUGUUCCCAGCAUCGUUGGAGUGCUAAGCGGGAAGGCAUUCAUCACCCACCUCUCUUGUUCUUAAGUUCUCUGCGGACAGCACACCCCUGACACCUGCACCCUGCCUACAGCUCCCCCCUUCUCCUCUCUUGGAGGCCACUGCACCUUGACUUGUGGGCUGCCACAGGGCACAGGGGGCUCCAGGGUCCCCACCGGAAAAGCGGAAAGAGUGCCCCCUGCUGACCUCACAGAGUUAUCUCAAGCGUUAAACUGCAUCUGAGAAUGAAUUCCUGAAUCGUCGCACCUACGAUAUGCACCUUUAGAUCUAUGAUAGAAAUAAAUAAGUAAUAACCUAAA